UGGGGAAUAUUGCACAAUGGGCGCAAGCCUGAUGCAGCCAUGCCGCGUGUGUGAAGAAGGCCUCGGGUUGUAAAGCACUUUCAGCGAGGAGGAAGGUGGUGAGCUUAAUACGCUCAUCAAUUGACGUUACUCGCAGAAGAAGCACCGGCUAACUCCGUGCCAGCAGCCGCGGUAAUACGGAGGGUGCAAGCGUUAAUCGGAAUUACUGGGCGUAAAGCGCACGCAGGCGGUUUGUUAAGUCAGAUGUGAAAUCCCCGGGCUCAACCUGGGAACUGCAUUUGAAACUGGCAAGCUAGAGUCUCGUAGAGGGGGUAGAAUUCCAGGUGUAGCGGUGAAAUGCGUAGAGAUCUGGAGGAAUACCGGUGGCGAAGGCGGCCCCCUGGACGAAGACUGACGCUCAGGUGCGAAAGCGU
rnacentral:rRNA from 1 species